rnacentral:rRNA from 1 species
GACGAACGCUGGCGGCGUGCCUAAUACAUGCAAGUCGAACGAGAGCGACCGGUGCUUGCCCUGGUCAAUCUAGUGGCGAACGGGUGAGUAACACGUGGGUAACCUGCCCAUCAGAGGGGGAUAACAUCCGGAAACGGAUGCUAAAACCGCAUAGGUCUUCGAGCCGCAUGGCUUGAAGAGGAAAAGAGGCGCAAGCUUCUGCUGAUGGAUGGACCCGCGGUGCAUUAGCUAGUUGGUGAGGUAACGGCUCACCAAGGCCGUGAUGCAUAGCCGACCUGAGAGGGUGAUCGGCCACAUUGGGACUGAGACACGGCCCAAACUCCUACGGGAGGCAGCAGUAGGGAAUCUUCCGCAAUGGACGCAAAUCUGACGGAGCAACGCCGCGUGAGUGAAGAAGGUUUUCGGAUCGUAAAACUCUGUUGUUAGAGAAGAACAAGUGCUAGAGUAACUGUUAGCGCCUUGACGGUAACUAACCAGAAAGCCACGGCUAACUACGUG